GACGAACGCUGGCGGCGUGCCUAACACAUGCAAGUCGAGCGAGAGACUUCGGUCUCUAGCGGUGGACGGGUGAGUAACACGUGGGUAACCUGCCUCAUAGAGGGGGAUAGCCUCCCGAAAGGGGGAUUAAUACCGCCUAAUACGUAUUGCUUUCAUCAUCUAUACAUUAAAGGAGAAAUCCGCUCUGAGAUGGACCCGCCGCGCAUUAGUUAGUUGGAGAAGUAACCUCUUACCAAGGCGACGAUGCGUAGCCGACCUGGGAGGGUGAUCGGCCACAUUGGAACUGAGAAACGGUCUAGCCUCCUACGGGAGGCAGCAGUGGGGAAUAUUGAACGAUGGGGGAAACCCUGAUGCAGCAACGCCGCGUGAGUGAAGAAGGCCUUCGGGUUGUAAAGCUCUGUCAUUGGGGACGAUAAUGACGGUACCCAAUGAGGAAGCCACGGCUAACUACUUGCCAGCAGCCGCUGUAA
rnacentral:rRNA from 1 species